UACAGAGGUCUCAAGCGUUGUUCGGAUUCAUUGGGCGUAAAGGGUGUGUAGGUGGCGCGCUAAGUCGGGUGUGAAAUUUCGGAGCUUAACUCCGAAACUGCAUUCGAUACUGGCGUGCUUGAGGACUGGAGAGGAGACUGGAGUUCAUGGUGUAGCAGUGAAAUGCGUAGAGAUCAUGAGGAAGACCAGUGGCGAAGGCGGGUCUCUGGACAGUUCCUGACACUGAGGCACGAAGGCCAGGGGAGCAAACGGG
rnacentral:rRNA from 1 species